CGCGGCGGGUUCUUAAGAUUGGGAACCCUCCCCACCUCGCCCAGGGCGCGUCUCCCACCGGCGCCGUAGUGUCGCUGGAGAGCGGGGGCGCCCCAGAGAGCGGUUGGCCCCGUCAGUGUCUCAAUGGAUGGGCAGUAAGCCCCUCUGGCAACGAAGCCAACAUACAACCCACUCGCUGGAUCCCCUUGGUCUGGAACAGUCUGUGACCCCCUACCAUAGCGGGUGAAAUGACUCGCUGAGGAUCCAGAACCUAAGUUUAGUUACCAGCACUUUCACUGAGCAGCCGGCAACCAUGGAACUCCAGCUCCACGGCGUCCAACAUCCCCUCAGCCUCCAGGAACACCCACGCACAUGAUGCACAUAUACAUAAUUUAAAAAUAAAGGGGAUGGAGAGAUGGCUUAGCGGUUAAGAGCACUGGCUGCUCUCCCAGAGGACCUGGAUUCAAUUCCCAGCACCCACAUGGUAGCUUACAUCGGUCUGUAACUCCAGUUCCAAGGGAUCCAGCACCCUUUUAUGGCUUCCUUGGACAUCAGGCAUGCACAUGGUGUAUACAUUUAUAUACAGGCGAAACACCUAUACACAUAGAAUUAAGAAAAUAAAAAUAAGACAGAAAGACGAAAGGGGGGUAGAGUGAGAAGAGAGAGAGGGGAAGGAAAGCGCAUGUACCAUUCCUAAAGACACAUGCAGUUUUACCUAGUGUCUUAUUUUUCUCUUUUAAAUUAGAUAUAAUUUGCAUACCAUGAAAUUAGCUCUUUUCAGUUUCCAGUGCUGUGAGCUUUAUUAAAUGCAUGUUGUCAUCUCAGCACACCACAGUCCAAUUGAGAUAUUUCCAUCAUCCCCUACUUUUCUUCACACCCACUCUAUUGUCUGGAAAUCUCUGGUCUGACUUUUCCGGAAUGUCAUAUAAGUUCUACAUGAAUGGAGACCUAUAGCAUGUCACCUUUCGACUCUGUCUUCUCUCACUUAGCGUAAUGGAUCUGUGAUCCAUCCACAUUAUUAUUUGUGUCAUCAGUUUUGUUUCUUGCUCCUUUGAUUUGUUUAUCUACUUAGGUGAUUUGGAAACAUUGUUUUAAAUUCUGAGAAGUUGUGAAUAAAGCUGCUAUAAACA